UACGAAGGGGGCUAGGCGUUGCUCGGAAUCACUGGCGUGAAGCAGCACGUAGGCGGAUUGCUAAGUCAGGGGUGAAAUCCUGGAGCUCAACUCCAGAACUGCCUUUGAUACUGGCGAUCUUGAGUCCGGGAGAGGUGAGUGGAACUGCGAGUGUAGAGGUGAAAUUCGUAGAUAUUCGCAAGAACACCAGUGGCGAAGGCGGCUCACUGGCCCGAUACUGACGCUGAGGUGCGAAAGCGUGGGAGCAACAGG
rnacentral:rRNA from 1 species